rnacentral:lncRNA from 1 species
UCUCUUCCAAAAAGUUGGCUUUCACUCCAAGGUUUUCUGAGUUGGAUUAGCUUUACGUUGUACUCUUUUAGAUGGUCUUAUCUCCUUGGAACUUCAACAUCGUGGCUUGGGACGCUAGGGUGACCUAGUCACCUUGUAUAUGCAUCAUUAGCUGUAAACUCAAGCUUGUUAGAACAACUUUUCAAUCAAUUGAUUGGCAUGCUUAGUAAACUUUCCAAUAAUUGGUUAAGUUAGACUGCCUACUUGCUUUGUGAACCUAGAUAUGUUAGGAGUUUAGGUCAACGAUAAAAGUUUAUUGAUUGGCUCUCUAGAGCUACUUUAAUUUGUUCAUAAUAGCAUAAACUCUCCAACUUAAUGUGAUCGGACAUGCAUGUUAUCAAUAUACCAUAAAGCAAGCCAAAUUACAAGGCCUAAAAGACCAUUUGUAGUAUAGGUAGUCUGCUUCACUGGUAGAUUUAUUCUUAAAUCAAUUUGAGUGGUCUUCUUGGUUUGGUUGUUAAUCUAAUGCUUGCAUGAUAUCGAAUCAAACUUGCUCACUACUAACACACUAGAGUGAUAGAUCCACUUAGAAAACCUCGACCACAAAAUGUCCAUCCCGUCCCUAAUUUCCCUUUAGAUAUAACCAAUUCAUAGCAAAAAUGUUUUUCAGCCCCCUCAAUAUAUUAUAUCCCCUUUCUUUCAAGCCUUUAUGUGAUCAUAGUGUACAUUAGCAGCAUGUAACUUGGUCGAGUCUAGGAGAAUCAAAAAGCUACUAAGUAGUAGAAAAUGCUGGAUCAACUACUCUCGCUUAGUUGUAAUUUUUGUACAACUUUAUUUUAAUUCGAAAAAAAAAGAAAAAGAUAGAAAAUAUUAGAGAUGUCAAACGGGCGUGUUGGGAGGGUCACAGGUCGGGUUAGUCGGGUAAAGAGUUAAACGGCUUGCGGGCUCAUUGGGUCAUGGGUUAUCCGGGUUGGCUCGUCGGGUUAUGCGUUCAUCAGGUCAUGGGCUCGUUGGGUCGCGGGUUUGUGGGCUUACAUGUUCAUCUAGUCACGGGUUCGUUGGUCACGAGUUGGGUGGGUUGCGGGUUGGGGCGAGUUUCUUAUCAUGUCAAAACAAUUUCACGAAAUAUAAUAUUCCUUUUUAUUUCAUCUAGAAGAAACUACAUUUUAGCGUUUAUGAUUUAUGGUUGAAAGAACAUUUUAUUCUCUCCAAUCUUUUACAAAAUUUUAAAAUUUAUACAAAUUUUUAAUUAUUAUGUAUUAAAUAAAUUACUUACGUGCUUACAAUUGGUAUGUAUAAUCUUUAAUAUUGUUAAACGAGAAGAUCACUUUAAUAGACGUAAACCUUACUAAAGAAAAUUAAAAAAAAUGUAAGUUAUAGUACAUAAGUUAUAUUGAAUAAGGUCAAUCAAGUCAUUUGGGUUGGGUUAGUCGUGUCGUGGGUUAGUCUGGUUAAGGGUUGUCCUUUCUUACGGGUUGUCCUUUCUUACGGGUUGAUCGGAUAACAGAUUCAUCGGGUUAUGGGUUAGUCAGAUCACGAGUUCAUAGGGCACGGGUUAGGCGGGCUAAUGUAUUAUCUAAUAUGAAUGAUGAUGUGUUUCAAGUUGUGGAACUUCCUAUGACACAUUUACUUCCUAAAUUGGUUUUAUUUUAAAGGUACACUUGCAUGUUGGAAAAUCUAGGGAACAUUGAGGAAUAUGAGUUACUUUGUCGUGGCAAGCAUUUUCAAUUAAUUGUAGGUAUCUUCUAUGGCCGUCAUCAACUUUUUGUUUAAAGACAAGCAAAGUUUAGGUGUAGGGUUAUAUGAUGACAUUCGAUUUACCGAGUUCAUCACCCCUCAUUUUAUGUAUUUUAAGCUAAUAUUGGAAUUUAGUGUCUUUUCGAUCAUUUCUUGAUUGAUUUUGAGUAUUUCUCGAUAUUGAGGCAUUAAUCAGAGCGAUACAAUGUCCAUGGAUGAGCUAGGACGACUCAAAGGUGCAAAAAAUCACAAGUGCUAAAAGUGCCCAAAUAUUCUCCUAAGGUGUCAACAAUUUUCAAGAUGUAAAAAGUCGACACAAGCAAGAACCUCUCAAGUCCAAGUGUCCAAAUCUGCUCCUAAGGUGUCGUUUAUCGUAAGGAAUAGGUUUCGACACUUAAGGCAUAGAUUUCGACUCCUUCAGCGAUUAGGUUUUCUUUUCUUAUUUAAACACCGGUUCCCCUCUUUCGAGACAGACAUCCUUUGGACGAAAUUGAGAUAGAAUUUCAGUGACUUUCAAGUCACAAGAAAACAACAAUUUCAAGGAGCUUGGUUCGCCAAUAAAAUAAUUAAGAUUUGUGACUCGUUAUUCAUGAGAGGAACUCGGCAAAAUUAAGUUUUUUAGUACUCCUUAUGCAAAACCGAUUUCAAUGUCUUUUUUAAUUUUAAUUUAUUCUUCAAGAUCAUGAGUACCUAAGGGUGGCACUUCUUCUUUGCUAUGAAGGGGUAAGCCUUGAUGAUGACCUCUCUAUAGAUUUACCACUAUAACCUCUAUAAGGAGGGUACCCUAUGGGUUUGCCCUUCAGAUUCGGAUGAACCAUGAUGGCAAUCAAGACAAUAAGUUGGAUGAUGAGUAGUUUAUAUUUGAUAUUUUCUAUAAUAUGAAAGGUAGUGUCUAAAUAAAAAUUUAAUUUUGUUUUAUCAUAAAGAUAUGAGUUAUUAUUUUUUAUUUCUCAUAUAAUAAAUAUUUAUAUCCAAAAAUCUUGCUAUGACAACAAAAUUUUUUAUUAUCACGUGACAACAUCACAAUCCAAAUUUAAUUUCUUUUUCUAAAUCUAAUGGUAGUNNNNNNNNNNNNNNNNNNNNNNNNNNNNNNNNNNNNNNNNNNNNNNNNNNNNNNNNNNNNNNNNNNNNNNNNNNNNNNNNNNNNNNNNNNNNNNNNNCAUAUUUUAUGAAUAUUUUUUUAUAUCCCGCAAUUGUGAUGAAUUUGUAACACUCCCCUAUCCCAUGUACAACCCAAACUUUGUACUUUAGUGAAAGGGAGGUACAAAUUGGAGAUACUUGUACCUAGUAUAUACGUUGAGUAUAAAGUCUUCAUGAAUUAAUACCACCCCUCAAUCUCAUGUACGCAAU